UACGUAGGGUGCGAGCGUUAAUCGGAAUUACUGGGCGUAAAGAGUGCGUAGGCGGUUCGUUAUGUCUGCUGUGAAAGCCCCGGGCUUAACCCGGGAAUGGCAGUGGAAACUGGCGGGCUUGAGUGUGGCAGAGGGGGGUGGAAUUCCGCGUGUAGCAGUGAAAUGCGUAGAGAUGUGGAGGAACACCGAUGGCGAAGGCAGCCUUCUGGGCCAACACUGACGCUCAUGCACGAAAGCGUGGGGAGCAAACAGG
rnacentral:rRNA from 1 species